rnacentral:rRNA from 1 species
UACGUAGGGUGCGAGCGUUAAUCGGAAUUACUGGGCGUAAAGCGUGCGUAGGCGGUUCGCUGUGUCCGAUGUGAAAGCCCCGGGCUCAACCUGGGAAUUGCGCGCGAAACGGGGGGGCUUGAGUUCGGGAGAGGAGCGUGGAAUUCCCAGUGUAGUGGUGAAAUACGUAGAGAUUGGGAAGAACACCAGUGGCGAAGGCGGCUAUCUGGACGGUUUCUGACGCUAAGACGCGAAAGCGUGGGGAGCAAACAGG